UACGAAGGGGGCUAGCGUUGUUCGGAGUUACUGGGCGUAAAGGGCGCGUAGGCGGCGCACCAAGUCAGGCGUGAAAGCCCUGGGCUCAACCCGGGAAUUGCGCUUGAGACUGGUGUGCUUGAGUACGGGAGAGGAUAGUGGAAUUCCCAGUGUAGAGGUGAAAUUCGUAGAUAUUGGGAAGAACACCGGUGGCGAAGGCGGCUAUCGUGGACGGUUUCUGACACUAAGACUCGAAAGCGUGGGGAGCAAACAGG
rnacentral:rRNA from 1 species